rnacentral:tRNA from 1 species
AAGACUUUAAGUUAAAAAACUAAUAUCCUUCAAAGUUAUAAAUAAAGAGUAACAAUUCAUCUUUAAGUCUUA